CUUACUCUACAAUGUAGUAACAUAAUAUAUAAUAUAACAAUAUGAUGAUGAUAUUAUAUAAUAUUUUAUAUAUUAAAAUACUAUAUUAUAUUUUAUUUUUAUGCAAAAUGGGAUGAUUAUGUGUAUCUUAUAACAACAUAAUAUACCUUAUAUACUUCGCAAAGAUAUUUUUGAUAAAAAUUUUAAAAUAAAAUAUAAUAAGAUUAUAAAUUCUUAUUGUUACAUAAUGUUCAAAUCCACAAC
rnacentral:lncRNA from 1 species